GCCCCAGUGGUGGAAUUGGCAUACACAGCAGGUUGAGGGCCUGUGCUCGAAAGGGCGUGGAGGUUCGAGUCCUCCCUGGGGCA
rnacentral:tRNA from 1 species